UAGCGAAAUUCCUUGUCGGGUAAGUUCCGACCUGCACGAAUGGCGUAACGAUGGCGGCGCUGUCUCCACCCGAGACUCAGUGAAAUUGAAAUCGCUGUGAAGAUGCAGUGUAUCCGCGGCUAGACGGAAAGACCCCGUGAACCUUUACUGUAGCUUUGCACUGGACUUUGAGCCUGCUUGUGUAGGAUAGGUGGGAGGCUUUGAAGCGUGGACGCCAGUUCGCGUGGAGCCAUCCUUGAAAUACCACCCUGGCAUGCUUGAGGUUCUAACUCUGGUCCGUGAUCCGGAUCGAGGACAGUGUAUGGUGGGCAGUUUGACUGGGGCGGUCUCCUCCUAAAGAGUAACGGAGGAGUACGAAGGUGCGCUCAGACCGGUCGGAAAUCGGUCGCAGAGUAUAAAGGCAAAAGCGCGCUUGACUGCGAGACAGACACGUCGAGCAGGUACGAAAGUAGGUCUUAGUGAUCCGGUGGUUCUGUAUGGAAGGGCCAUCGCUCAACGGAUAAAAGGUACUCCGGGGAUAACAGGCUGAUACCGCCCAAGAGUUCAUAUCGACGGCGGUGUUUGGCACCUCGAUGUCGGCUCAUCACAUCCUGGGGCUGAAGCCGGUCCCAAGGGUAUGGCUGUUCGCCAUUUAAAGUGGUACGCGAGCUGGGUUUAGAACGUCGUGAGACAGUUCGGUCCCUAUCUGCCGUGGACGUUUGAGAUUUGAGAGGGGCUGCUCCUAGUACGAGAGGACCGGAGUGGACGAACCUCUGGUGUUCCGGUUGUCACGCCAGUGGCAUUGCCGGGUAGCUAUGUUCGGAAAAGAUAACCGCUGAAAGCAUCUAAGCGGGAAACUUGCCUCAAGAUGAGAUCUCACUGGGAACUUGAUUCCCCUGAAGGGCCGUCGAAGACUACGACGUUGAUAGGCUGGGUGUGUAAGCGUUGUGAGGCGUUGAGCUAACCAGUACUAAUUGCCCGUGAGGCUUGACCAU
rnacentral:rRNA from 1 species